GACAUAGGUGGCAAAUGUUAUCCGGAAUUAUUGGGCGUAAAGGGUGCGUAGGUGGUUUAAUAAGUUACUGGUGGGAAAUCGGGGCCCAACCCCGUGGAAGUUAGUAAUACUAUUAGACUAGAGGAUCGGAGAGGUUAACGGAAUUCUAUGUGUAGCGGUAAAAUGCGUAAAUAUAUAGAGGAACACCAAAAGGCGAAGGCAGUUAACUAUUCGAUUCCUGACAUUGAGGCACGAAAGCGUGGGGAGCAAAACGG
rnacentral:rRNA from 1 species